rnacentral:rRNA from 1 species
GACGAACGCUGGCGGCGUGCUUAACACAUGCAAGUCGAACGGAAAGGCCCUGCUUUUGUGGGGUGCUCGAGUGGCGAACGGGUGAGUAACCCGUGAGUAACCUGCCCUUGACUUUGGGAUAACUUCAGGAAACUGGGGCUAAUACCGGAUAGGAGCUCCUGCUGCAUGGUGGGGGUUGGAAAGUUUCGGCGGUUGGGGAUGGACUCGCGGCUUAUCAGCUUGUUGGUGGGGUAGUGGCUUACCAAGGCUUUGACGGGUAGCCGGCCUGAGAGGGUGACCGGCCACAUUGGGACUGAGAUACGGCCCAGACUCCUACGGGAGGCAGCAGUGGAGAAUAGUGCACAAUAGGCGGAAGCCUGAUGCAGCAACGCCGCGUGCGGGAUGACAGCCUUCGGGUUGUAAACCGCUUUCGCCUGUGACGAAGCGUGAGUGACGGUAAUGGGUAAAGAAGCACCGGCUAACUACGUG